CCGAUCUCCCACCCUUUGUUUUCUGACCCUGUUGCCCCGGGGGCGACCCUGCCUUCGGGUGUUGGGGCCCCCGGUGGCCUACCUAACUCUGCAUCUUAGCGUCUGAGUAUAAAUUGAAUCAAUCAAAACUUUCAACAACGGAUCUCUUGGUUCCAGCAUCGAUGAAGAACGCAGCGAAAUGCGAUAAGUAAUGUGAAUUGCAGAAUUCAGUGAAUCAUCGAAUCUUUGAACGCACAUUGCGCCCCUUGGUAUUCCGAGGGGCAUGCCUGUUCGAGCGUCAUUACACCACUCAAGCCUGGCUUGGUAUUGGGCGCCGCGGUCCGCCGCGCGCCUUAAUGUGUCCGGCAGAGCCGUACCGUCUCUAAGCGUUGUGGUUUAAUCAAUCCGCUUGCGAGAAGGUCGGUCCGCGCCGUUAAACCCCCCCAUCAAAGGUUGACCUCGGAUCAGGUAGGGAUACCCGCUGAACUUAAGCAUAUCAAUAAGCGGAGGAAAAGAAACCAACAGGGAUUGCCCUAGUAACGGCGAGUGAAGCGGCAACAGCUCAAAUUUGAAAUCUGGCGCAAGCCCGAGUUGUAAUUUGCAGAGGAUGCUUCUGGGCAACGGCCGGUCUAAGUUCCUUGGAACAGGACGUCACAGAGGGUGAGAAUCCCGUACGUGACCGGCUAGUACCCUCCACGUAGCUCCUUCGAAGAGUCGAGUUGUUUGGGAAUGCAGCUCUAAAUGGGAGGUAAAUUUCUUCUAAAGCUAAAUACCGGCUGGAGACCGAUAGCGCACAAGUAGAGUGAUCGAAAGAUGAAAAGCACUUUGGAAAGAGAGUUAAAA
rnacentral:misc_RNA from 1 species